GCUUCCGUAGUUUGCAUCUUUUUUCUCUUCCUGUGAUUAUUCUGUCACUCUUUUCUACAGUAAUUACUGUAAUAUCACAACUUAGCGCUGCUCGAUCGUGUGAGCGGCUCUUCUUUCUGCCGGUGUGGAUUAUGAAUCGCUCGCGUCCCCUUGGCGAGGAGCUUCUGUCACGUGACGGGUUGUUACGAAAAAAAAAAGAAGAAGAAGACGGCAUCAGCAGCAGCAGCAACAUCAGGCGGCUCUCCUCCUCGUGUCGUGUCAAUCCUCACAUUAGCUGGGAGACUUUUCACUCUCACGGAACUCUUGACUGAAGUGAACAUAUGGUGUGUUGGAUCGUAGUGGGAAGUGUGCAGUCUAUCUUACCACAUCGGUUCUGAUGUUUUAUCUACAAGUGGCGGUCGGAAGAGGAUGCGGCUCCUCUUGUACACAACUUUGUGUGGAUUCUUACUCAGUACAGGGGCUGCUGUACAAAUCCAGUGCUACCAGUGUGAAGAAUUCCAGAAGCAUGAAUGCUCAUCGCCAGAAUUUAUUGUGAACUGUACUAUCAACGUUCAGACUGUGUGCCAAAAGGAAGUGGUCCAUAACAGCGAUGGAGUGAUAUAUCGCAAGUCAUGUGCUUCCUCCGCGGCCUGCCUCAUCGCCUCAUCGGGCUACCAGUCUUUCUGCUCUCCCGGAAAGAUCGGCUCAGUGUGCAUUAGCUGCUGCAACACGGCGCUCUGCAAUGGACCCCGACCACGCAAGCGAGGAAACUUGGCGGGGGCGGCACCCUUGAGCCACUCGUACGUCGGGGGCUUCCUGAUACCCUUACUACUAGCGUUCCUGCUGACGUAGAACUGGCUUUUGGAGAGACACAAAGGAAUGGCGUUGUACAUAGUCUGAACCAUUAUAGCAUUAUUCUCCAUGCUACCUGGUCCAUUGUUUUAAAAAAAAAAAGCCUUAAGCCAUCAAUCAUGCAAACUCAGUCCUUAAAGAGAUUAAAUAAUUUGUCAUUGUGGGGCAGGGAAAUCCAUCAUCGCUGAAGACGAGCACAGGCGACAUUGUGUCUCAAGAAAGAAGGAUAUGCUUGGAAAUCGGAAGUUGGAAUUUUGAUCUAAAUGAAAUCCAAUGAUGCAGAGCUCUAAAGAAAGAAAGAAAGAAAGAAAGAAAGAAAGAAAGAAAGAAAGAAAGAGGCCAUACCCUGCCUAAAGAAAAUGAGAUGGUCGGUAGUGUAUUGCCUGUGACAUUUUAUCAAAUGUUCUUUACGUAAAAGACUUUGGGUAAGAAAAUGUGUGUCCCAAAAUGCUGAGACACAGUCAAUUAUUGACCUGCACAAUGAAUUUGUAAAUAUAAUUAAAAUUUAAAAAGAGUGAUAUUAAUCUGGUUAUGAACUUUCUAGAUGCUGUUCUUCCUCGCUGGAAGGCAAGGGGAGCCAAUCCCUUAGCAAAGGGCACAAUGCACGAGGUGUUCCAGGAGGCGACCUACGUGAGGGGGUUUCCAAAAAUUCAUAGAACUGUU